AUGUUUCACAUCACUUUUUUUGUUUUUGGACAGGGUCUCUCUCUGUUGCUGCCCAGGCUGGAGUGCACUGGCAUGAACACAGCUCACUGUAGCCUUGACUUCAGGGGCUCAAAGGGUCCUCCCACCUCAGCCUACGGAAUGGCUGGGACUACAGGCAGACAGGGUGUCCCUAUGUUGUCCAGUCUGGUCUUGAAUUCCUGGGAUUACGAGAUCCUCCUGCCUUGGCCUCCCAAAGUGCUGGGAACACCUGGCCUGAGACACUGCCUGGUCAGUUUUUUUUUCUGUAGAGACAGGGGUCUCAUUGUGUUGCCUAGGCUGUCAAAUCAUUUUUCAUUCCAUUGCUGCCACCAGGACCCAGGCCUCAAUGACCUCUUAUUCCUGAUUGUCCUUCCAGCUCUCCCAGUCUCUGCCCUGCCUAUUCCAUAUCUAUGCACCACUGCCAUUCUAGAGCAGUGCUUAUUUAUGCAGAUAAUCCACUGAAACACCAUGUGGAACAGAGUCUAGAGUCCUUGACCUGGAACUUCAGGUCCCACACUCCCACCCUGGUUUUCCAUUCUUACCUCCUAACGUGCUCAUAUGUGAACCUUAUGGAUUACUUGCCAUGACCUGAAUACGUGUGUGUGUGUGUGUGUGUGUGUGUGUGUGUGUGACAGAGUCUCACUCUGUUGCCAGGGCUGCAGUGCAGUGGUGCAAUCUUGACUCACCGCAACCUCCGCAUCCUGGGUUCAAGCAAUUAUCAUGCCUCAGCCUCCCAAGUAGCUGGGACUUACAGGCAUUCAGCACCAUGCCCAGCUAAUUUUUGUAUUUUUAGUAGAGAUGGAGCUUCACCAUGUUGACCAGGCUGGUCUCAAACUCCUGACCUCAAGUGAUUUGCCUGCCACCCAAAGUGCUAGGAUUAUAUGCAUGAGACACCAUACACAGGAUCUGAAUACCUUUGAUGCUUUCACUUUCUUCAAAGAUCCCAAGUUCCUAUGUCACUUAAAGUGUCAUAUGAGUGCUAGGAAGUGUUAAUAAACAUCCAAAAGAGCCUGGGAUAAACAGCUUCAUGACAUCCUCUUGAGCAGCUGGGACUACAGGCACAUGCCACCACACCCGGCUAAUUUUUAUAUUUUCAGUAGAGAUGGGGUUUCACUAUGUUGGUCAGGCUAGUCUCAAACUCCCCUCGUGAUCCACCCGCCUCGACCUCCCAAAGUGCUGGGAUUUCAGGUGUGAGCCACUAUGCCCGGCUGGUAAUAAAGCAUUCUAUAGAGAUUAUUGUUUCUACCUCUCUGUAUUAUUGAACUUGUUUAAAGGGCAUUUAUGAUUUAGUAAAAAAAAAAUCUAAUAAAUUAAGCAUGUUAAUAAAUAAACAAAAACAACAAAAAAGAAUCUUUUGGGCCUCUGUUUUUAUUACACAAUCCACAACCAAAGAAGUACAAAUACCAUUGUAAUUUUUUUCUUUUUUGAGUCAGAGUCUCACCGUUUCCCAGGCUGGAAUGCAGCCCUGAUCUCGCAGGCUCACUGUAAUCUCCACCUCCCAGGUUCAAGAGAUUCUUGUGCUUCAGCUUCCCGAGUACCUGGGACUACAGGCGCAUGCCGCCACACCCAGCUAAUUUUUUUUAUUUUGUAGAGACUAGGUUUCACUGUGUUGCCCAGGCUGGUUUCAAACUCCUGAGCUCAAGCAAUCCACCCGCCUUGGCCUCCCAAAGUGCUAGGAUUACAGGCAUGAGCCACUGUGCCUGGCCCUGGUUAUAUCUUUGUUUACCGUUGGUCUAGGCAGCCUACCAGAGGCUGGGUUUUCAUCUAUGUAGGCUCUUGUAAAUGCUGCUACCAAUUGUAAAGACCAUUCCAUUUCCCACUAGGUCUUUAGAUUCUAGGUCUGCAAAAAGCCAUAUGACAAGAGAACCACUCCUCCCGGUAGCUUCCUACAAGCUUAUCACACUACCUCUAGAAAACUAAGCUUAGUGGGACACCCAGCCCCCUCCUCCUCUCCACUGCCAGUUUGCCCCACCUCUUUCCUUUCUACUGCCCUCAAGCUAAGUCAGACUUGUCAUCCCUGAGUGCCUUUGUUUACUUCAUUGCCUCUAGAUUGUUUUCACUCGAAUACCUUCCCAGGCCGGGUGGAGUAAUGGUUUGAAUCACAACUCUGUAUCAUGGACACAACCUCUUUUCAAACCUCAAUUUCUUUUUUUUUUAAACCUCAGUUUCUUCAUCUGUAAAAUGUAGGUACUAAUUAUAAUUACCACUCUAGUGAGCAUCUCAUAGUAGGUCUUCAAUGAAUGGCAAUCAUCAUUGUUUUGUUAUUAUUUUCCUUCUUUCAGGCUUCACCUUUUUGGCU
rnacentral:lncRNA from 1 species